ensembl:lncRNA
UGAUAGGAGGUCUGUCUCCCCAUGUGAUCUCCAUUAACACUACAUUGAGUGUGGUUUCAUUACUGCUGAGCAGUGAUAAAAGUUGCAGCUAUCCAUUCAGCCUGCUCUGACAUUACUAAAAAAGUUCCACAUUAACAUCACAGGAUGAAAAACCUCAUUACCAAUGGAAGGGGAUGAAAGUCUCAGUUCCAUAUUGGGUCUUUGCUGAUACCACUCUGGUUGCCCUCCCCCAAGCACAGUCAAGAAUCUCUGGAGAUCAACUAAAUGUUCCACGAAUAUGUGCUGUUUUCAUCUGCUGCCUCAACCCUCAUUCUUCUGUAAAUGGUUGCCUUGAGAACUGAGUUCACCACCUCCCUUCAGUGUCCACUGCUUUCCCCAUGUAGGAACAACAUUGCUUCAAUUUUAAUAUGAUUUUUCAUAAGUUUGAAGAAAAUACAAGAGAAGCAUAACACAGUGUAAUGAAAUAAAUCUCUUCUUGCAGCAAACCUAUCCUUUGGUUUGCACAAUACUAUGCUCCAGAAUGUCUGGCCCAGAUCAUUCUGGUAAUCUUCAUGACACAGAGGUCAAAUUACCUUUCUUCUAUCCCAUCCGUCCACCUAUUCUUAUUUCCUAUCCUAGAGUCACUCUCCCAAGAAAGAUCGUCAACAUGAAUUAAUUCCCUUUGGGGAAAAAUAUGACCUCAAGACCUUCUCACUCUCAGGUGAGGGUCAGCUUUGUGAUCUGAGCUACACUAAAAUCCAAUCAUCUAACAUAAUGAAGACUGAACUCCCAUACUGUUCAAGAUAUUACCAUGCCAGCCCACAUUGAGUUUAUUCAAACCAAGUCUUGUUCUUACCUCUAAUUCAAGAUAAAGAUCGAGUUUCUCGCAUUCCUUUCUACAUUUCUCUCAAGGGUAAGGUCACAGCUGUGCAAUCCUAUCUAUCACAUAAACAAAAUCAUAAUACCUAAAAAAUCUACAACUCUGGAAUAUGUUUAUAUUUUACUUUUGGAUAACAAAAAAUUACUUUGACUCCUUCAAAAUAAAG